UUGACUUCUUUCAUGUUUGUGGUGCAGUUGACGAGACCUACUGGAAGAUGUUAAUAUGCUCCGCAGCUCGCUGGAAGGUGGAUGAGCUUUGCUGAUAUUUUUUAGGAUUACUUUGUUGAACUGUGUGCUGAUGCUCAUGACUAGUGGAUUUAAGCGUGCGACUCUGUUGACGAAAUAUGUGGUUUACUGACUCAGUGUAGUGACAAUAUUGAUGCUAUGACAUGCCUUACUGUUCUGCAUUUCUUUACUUAAGCUUCUGUUGUUACCAGCCUUGACUAGGAACAGAUUCACUAAAAACCUG
rnacentral:lncRNA from 1 species